AAUAAAGACAUUUUUAAGUAUUUUAGAAACACUAACAUCAUACAUAUCCAAAUAUGAAGUAAUGUUUUAACUCCCAUUUACAUACAGACCUGUGGCCAACUUUAUAAACCAUUUUGAAUUUUUUCCAGCUGAGGCGUUCAAAAUAGAUAUACUUUUGAUUGUCACAGUGUAAUUUGGGCAGCUGCCUGCCUAAUAUAACAUAACAUCACCACAAUAUUUUAUAUUAAAUGAGGAAAUGUAUCUUUGUUUCCUUAGCUAAGACUGCUUGCUGCUGUAGCUUGUGUUUAUCUUGAGAGUGACAUCUGAUUUAAAAGCAAGGAGCAAAAGCCACUGAGCACCAUCAGUCAGCACAGAGGCAAUGCAGUUUGGUGUAAUUGUUAGCCUAGUAAUUCAUAGUAAUAUAUUUCUCACACACAACCUCAACCUCUGCCUCUCAAUGUGAGCAGAGACACAGCAGCAUCUUGUUUCUACAAGAAGCCUGAUUAAAAUGUGAGGCAUUUAUACGGUGUACGAGAUUAAUAACAAAUAUUCACUGUCUGCAAACCAUACCAGGGUGGACUAUUCAUUUUCCCAGUGGGUCACAUGAAAAACUGAGACUGGUGUGGAGGCUCAAACUACUAAGCUGAACUCAGUUCUAAUCAGUAUUAAUUUUAUUUCUUCAUAAACUGCUACUGGCAUGAGUGCAUAUUACAACUUCACUGCCACAGUAUUACUUAUUUUCCUUACACACAGACCUUAUAGGAGGUAAUUGAGAGAAAAAAGAGGGGAGGAUGGAGUGGGUGAGUAAUGUCAUUAGGUGCGGUCAUUUGGGAUAUUUUAUGUCCUGGCAAUGAAGCGGAAAAUUAUUGAACUUUAACCUGGAUACAUUUAAAAUUGCAUUGUUUUUCUGAUGCAGCUUGUAUUUUAUGCAAAACAUGUUAAAUCUUGUGGGAAUGUUCACUUUCAAUACAGUUCAGUUAUGCAGUGCUGAGUGUCAGACAUGCUAAGGCACAUGUAAUGAAAUAACUUGUUUGAGCUUUUGUAAAGAGUUCAUUUUUAAAUUUUUACACAAAUGAGACUUUUCUCACUUUGGUUACUAUUUCAGCUUCACAAAGGCUUCAGUGUUAUAAUGAAGAAAAAGAAGCAUCACUUCAAUACAUCAGCCGUGUUGUCAGUGAUGUAAUUUGAGAUUUUUCCUUUCAACACUGUUUAAAGUACAGGCUCCCAUGUAUGGACUGAUGUUUUGAUCCACCUGCUUCUCUGUAACCUGUGGGUGAAUCUCUCCAUCUCCUCUGGGUAAUUAUAUUUUCCACUUCAUUUACACACAGCUGGAAGAAGGAGAUGCGAGUAAGGUCUUUAUGUUUCUGCUUGGACCUUCUGUCCCUGCAACCCAAACCCAGAUAAGUAGCAAAAUAUGGAUAGAUGGAUGAGUAGAUGUCCUUUUGACAUAGUUAUGUCAUGAAGUAACAUGAAAAAAUAGUUUAAUCAGUGCACUUUAGGUCUUAAAAACAUGAACAGCAUCUCUUAAAUAUAUGCAUCCAUUUUUAUCUCAAGUCUCAAGCAUUUCCUUAAAACCAUAUCAACACAAUCCAGUGAAGUGAAUUAACAGUUUCUCCAAAGACAGCUGCUACAUGCAAAGGAAUCAAAAUUCACAAUGCCAUCUUCUCAAUUCUGUUGGAAAAAUAUGUCCCAUAAUUUUUUAAAUGGUUAAGAGACAAAAUAACCAUGUCUAAUGUAGCAUCUGUGAUUUAAACGAAACACAAAACUGUAUCAGUUUUCAAUUGAGUACGUUGUGUGUGAUUUUGCAAAUUAAAAAAAAAAAAAAAAGCACCAUGAUCUACUUUAAGGAACACAAGCAGGAUAUUUUGGAGUGACCUGACUUGAAAACUCUGCAGGUGGAUAUUAAAAAUGCUGCAUCUUCUGCAAAGCAGCCUAAAAAUAUCCAACAACAUCAAAAGUGCUUCACUGAAAAGUGGGUGAAAAGUUUUUAAUCAUUAAUGGAAAGAAUGCACAAGUUGUGCAUCAGUGAUAUGAAUAUCACAAGGUCUGCUAGCUAAGGGUGCUGCAAUCUAGAAACACUGUUGUCUCUUCCUCUAACUUGGGGCAGUUAUCAUCACAGUGCAACUUCACCCUCAGCUCUGAGCAAAACUGCUAAAAAAUGUGCAAGGUGCAGAAAAAGAGGGAGGCGAUGGAUGUGUGAGGCAGAAAACAGGAUUCAGAAAAAUGCUGAGCUCUGCAGGCUUCAGGAAUAGAUUCUGAGUGCACAACCACAAAUGGUUCUUUCUAGGUGGAGCUCUUUUCCCCUCCAUACAUUACUGAGGUGCUGAACCAUGGUGGUGGUCCAGACCUUUUUUAAUUUGUGCCCUCAGCCCUGGGGACUUAACGACUGAAAGACUGCUAAACCUCUGCUGGUCACUGUAGAUAGUCGCAAAGGAAAUAAUCUGAACUGUUGAGCUGUUUUAUCAUAACUGAAAAACAUGCAGUAGCUAGGAAGAAAUAUUCUCCAUUAGCAUUAAUUAAAAAGCUGAGCACAAUAAGGUCGGUUGUCAGAAGAAGCAGGCACUCUUGGCUCCCUGGCACACCGAGCUGAAGACAUGAUCUCUCUUUGACCUUUGCACAGUGGACCGUAAAUGAGCUGUUUACUUUUUUUUUUAUCUCUACAAUAUCUCAGGUAAUAUCUUGAAUUGCUGCUGUUCUGCUGCUGAAACAUUUGCAUCAAGUGAGGCAACAGUGCAGUUUCUCUCCUGUAUGGAUUCUCUGAUGAACACACAGGGGCACACUCGGAUCAAACCCUUGUUAUGUCUGCCUGAAUGAUUUGUCAUGUUUGCAUGUAUUAUGAGGUCAACAUCCCCUUUAAAACAAGCACAGCAAACACAGCAGAAGUUUAUCUCAGUGUGAGAUUGUAAAUGAUUAGAUAUUUUUCAUGGAUGUUGCACAUGCUGCCAAGUACUCUUCAGAGACAGCAGCGACCUGACUGGAGGCUCCGUGGCAUGCCUUCAUCUUCUUAUUCUUUAUUUACAUGUGCAGAAGCAGAGCAGUCUGAUGAAGGGGCCUGACAGAUGAAAUAACUGAUCUUGCCUCUGCUGAGCCUCUGAGUUGGGACUCUUCUCCGGCUGUGAGCUGAAAGAUGAAAGAGGAAGAAUCAUUUCUUCUGAGAAUUCAGGUGCUUCUCUUAAACAUGAAAGAACCUCUUUUUUUAUUUAUUAGGGAUCAGGAAUAGAAAUAUACCAAAUUAUCUGUUGAUUGUCUGUUUUUGUUCUUGCAUUUCUGACUCAUUGGGAGAAUUCCAUUAUGAACAUACAUAUCCUAGUGGAAAUUUAAAAUAUACGAUGUGAGAAAUAUGAAGUGAAACUGCAGUGGAUGCAUCUUGACAUGUAGACGUGGCCAAGAUGACCACGUAUUCACUUCACACACAUAUGAACUGUAGCUAUAACAGCUUCAACUCUUAUGGGAAGGCUUUCCACAAAGUUUACAAGUGUAUCAGAAUUUGUGAGGUCAGACACUGAUGUUGGAUGAGAAGGCCUGGCUCACAGUCUCCACUCUGAUUCAUCCCAAAAGCAUUCGGUCAGAUUGAGGUCAGGACUCCGUGCCGGCCGGUCAGAUUUUUCCACACCAAACUUGCUCAUCCAUGACUGGUACGCAGUCAUAUUGAAACAGGAAGGGGUCUUCACCCAACUGUUCCCACAAAGUUGGGAUCAUGAAAUUGUCCAAAAUGAUUUGGUAUGCUGAAGCAUUAAGAGUUCCUUUCACUGGAUUGAAGGGGCCCAUCGCCUGAGAAACAACCCCACACCAUAAUCCCCCCUCCACCAAACUUUACACUAGGCACAAUGCAGUCAGACAAGUACCGUUCUCCUUGAAACCACCAAACUCAGAAUGUUUUAGAGGAGGAGCAGGGAGGAAGAAUUCCCUUUUAACAGAAAGAUACCUCAAGCAAAACCAGAGGAAGACAUCUAUCUGCCAUAACAGGUUUUGGAGUGAGGGGAAAGAGAAAGACAGGUCUAAACACAAAGACAGGAGACGAAUAUAUAUCAUCAAUCUCCUCAUCGAUAUGCAUCUAUAACCUUCAAAAUUAUUUAACACAAAAAGUGAUCAGAAGAAAAAACUCAACGUAAGAAGUUUAUUGGUUUGCAAAGGAGUUGUUUUUACAAAAGCAUAGAGGGGAAAAAACAUUUGGAGCAUGUAUUGUGUUCAUCUAAACACUGGCCGUGUGCACAUUCUCACAAAGUUUACAGUCAACUCUAUUUAUUUCGGGAAUGUGACAUCAUGUGGUAAUUACAAGUGCUCCUGUUUUCAGCAGAUCAAACAGCCAACAUGAUGCGUGAGAUGAAAGAGUAUCAGGGAGAUCAAAGUUACUGCAGCCAGCACACGAGUGAUCCUCCGACUCAGUACAUCCUUGAAAACAAUGACAGGAAACUGUUGUGCAGUUAAAAGAAAAGCAUCUGGAAAUGGGAAAGGUUGCAGUUUAAGACAAUACUCUUUUUCCAUAUCAUUUGUAAUAUUUGUACACAUCAGAACCCAGAGCCAAAGAAAACACUUUCAUUAUUAUAAAAGACUCAGCUUUUCAACGCGCCUUCGUAUAAACAGCAAAACGUUAGCUAUACAGUCAGGAUAUCUUUACCACACACAAAGCUGCUGGUUAUGGUGUAAUAAAUACAAAUGAUAACAUGAUCAACCGCACAAACACAUCAGCAACACAUCAGCCUACUUCUACUCAAUGAACACCAUGAAGUCAUUUUAGCACCUUUUAGAAAACCGCUCUUUAACCUGGUGAAACUCAUGGGGAAAUGAUUUUAAUUCAAUACUCGAGUCCACAUUAGGCCAUAAAAAAAUACAGCCCAAAAGAACAGACAAUGGAUAGAUGGCAAAAAGAAAUAAAACCGCAUGCUUGACUGAAACAGAAACUGGCAAUACAUAGUUGGUACGUCAAUCUGUCGUCUUUCCAAAUUGCCAGGUACUAGCUUACAUGCACAACAAAUGCUUUCAUGUGUUUUCUUCAAAAAUAAAAACCCUGAGUCCACGUACAUCCAAAGUCCGAAAGGAGGGUAACAAACAGACAGACAUGGGUAAAAAAAAACAAAAAAAAAACACUCCUUCUCUUACAUCAGACUUGCUGGAUUUUAAGGGUAGGAAGAGUGUAAAGAUUUACUUCACUGAAUGGGUAUAAAAGGGCAGGUCCUAAAUAACUGGGGUGAUUGUGGACAGUAAUUUCACCUGGGUUACCAUUAGAUUACAAUCAGCCAGAAAAUGACAUUCAGCUUUUCAGUUACAUUUUUAAAGUGUUGCAGAGAAAAUAAAAUAAGAGUUACAAAGAGCAAUAAAUUAUGAUUUCCCAAGGUUGUUCUUCAAAAGAUGUGGGAUCAUUAGGAGAUCAGAAAAAGAGGCCUGCAUAUUUAACAGUAAAAAUGCUUUAACUGUUUUCUUCUCGCUGUGAGUUUUGCAAUUUUUUUUAAAGUGCAACAGUACAAAAUAGGUAAGUACCCCACAAGCUUAUCCUGUACCUGCACCACAUCUAAAAACCUAGAGGAAAACAAACUGCGCUCAGCUGGAAAAAAACACAGCAGUUCCAGAAACAAUUUGCUAAUGGCAGAGUUCAAGUGUACACUAUGCUGAGCCAAACAGACUCCCAGCUCAGCUCUGCACACAUAUAAAGAGCUCCCUGGAAUGAGCGCAGGAAGCCUUGAAUUGUUCCUCUCCCUCCCCCGUACCUCCUGCUGCUGUCAACACAGUAAACUGAAGACCCAAAACAUGAACCUGCAUCACCCUUCAACACACAUCUUGUUUUUACAUCACUCAAACAUACUUCCAUGGACUAUAUCAACAUUAUUACAGUAAACUGUUACUAAAUAUGGUCACCAGAAUACCAAUAGCAUCCAACAACAUGCCCAAUCAGCAUAAUUACAUGUUAUUUGGACACAUUUGCCCUUGUAAUACUAAAGUAAGAAUGAUUCACACACACCUAUCCGUUACACUGCAAUUCUCAGUACCACGCUCGUUUGUGUCCAGAAUAAAUUUGGGUAAAACGAGGAACUCAGGAAGACGCUGUCUGACCAACCAGGCAAAAAGAAGCUUAGAGUCAGCUCUAGGAGCAGCGAUGUUAUUGCUAUGUCAAAGGAACUAGCAAAUACUCAUGCAUGUAUAGAAAGCAGCCUUUCUGCAUUUUGACAAACGCUGCCCACAGGUAAUGAAGAAGUUUCCUUAGAGUUUGCCCACAAAGGAAGCCUCAUUCAUGGCUUACUCCAAUUUUACAGCAGCAAAAAUUCGAUCCAAAAACCAUCAUUGGCUUAUGAUAAACACAGAAUAUGUGAGGGUGAAAAUGUCAAAAUGUCUGAGCAGUUUUGUGCAGGCAACUGCUGUUCACUUCUUCAGUGUCAAACUGCUAAAAAAAAAAAAAAAAAGUCCUCAAAAGGGAUCAAACAGGCUCA